AAAUAGUCCUGAUAGCAAUGGAAAUCCUUUGUAAGUUUUGUUUUUUUAAAACUUACAAAGAUUGAAAUGAAUAGCAGGGAAUAAC
rnacentral:sRNA from 1 species